GAGGAUGGAAGUGUUGGCUGCCACGGUGGCCAUCUUUACUCCUUUUAUUCCUGUUACGGUUUCCUGCCUCGGCCAAUCACAAUCCCCGGCCGAAAUGAGUGGACCAAUCCCCACCCAGGAAUGGCAAAUUCCUAUUUACAUAGGAGAUUGACAAGAAACACAAAGCCACACACACAAACGCAACAGAAUACAAAAACUACGACCACGGUCGUAACAGUGGGUUAUACAGGAGAUCACUUACCAGAUCACUCCCAUACUCCUGAUCUUACACGCAUAGAAGGAACAUCAGAUAUAAGAUCACUACUAAGACCUCUUUUAUUUAAACACAUUAAUUUUUCCUUUGUUACUUUGAGUAAGAUUGCGGCAAGGUUUGGAGUGCUUGGGGGUGCUGCAGGCUGCAGUAGGGAGCACUGCCUUGAGAAGGCUGUUUUCAGGUGGACCCCCUGCCCCACUGACAGCAGAGCAGGUGAUGAAUAUGUUUGCCGUCAACUACUCUGUUCGAGGGAGCUCAUGCCGGUCAGAGGAGGAGCGGGCAGUUGGCUACUGGAGGGACUGGCUCAUCGAUGUGGAAGGUGGAGAUGCUGUAUUGGUGGUGGAGGACACGGAGAACCGAGUGACGCUGAACCAGCUCCUCAUGUUCGUCACUGGGGCGGACAGAGUUCCUCCCCUGGGAUUCCCAGGAGAGCCAACUUUAAACUUUUUGCACACUGUCACACAUUUGCCUUUUGUCUUCCCGGAAGCAAACACGUGUGCACGGAUUCUAAAGUUGCCGCUUCACACCACAUUUUAAUCAUUCAGUGAUUCAAUGAUAUCAGGAAUCAUCCAAUCCCCCUGUUUUGGGUAUGCUUAAUGUUUUGCUGGUAUUUAAACAUUUUUUUUGCAUGUUCUUGCUAAUGUUUUGCAUCUUCUUUAAAUAAACAAUGUUCCAGUUCCACGUUUUUAUGCUUUGCCAGACCCUUAUUGGAUGACUACAAUCAAAGCUUUUGUUUGGCCGUCUGCCAAAAUAAUACAUGUUGGCUUACAACUAGUGACUCUACAAUCAAGUCUUCUAACCGCCCAAUAAUUUUUUUCUUCUUUCUUGCCUUCUCAAA